CCGCAAUGGACGAAAGUCUGACGGAGCAACGCCGCGUGAGUGAUGAAGGUUUUCGGAUCGUAAAGCUCUGUUGUUAGGGAAGAACAAGUGCCGUUCAAAUAGGGCGGCACCUUGACGGUACCUAACCAGAAAGCCACGGCUAACUACGUGCCAGCAGCCGCGGUAAUACGUAGGUGGCAAGCGUUGUCCGGAAUUAUUGGGCGUAAAGGGCUCGCAGGCGGUUUCUUAAGUCUGAUGUGAAAGCCCCCGGCUCAACCGGGGAGGGUCAUUGGAAACUGGGGAACUUGAGUGCAGAAGAGGAGAGUGGAAUUCCACGUGUAGCGGUGAAAUGCGUAGAGAUGUGGAGGAACACCAGUGGCGAAGGCGACUCUCUGGUCUGUAACUGACGCUGAGGAGCGAAAGCGUGGGGAGCGAACAGGAUUAGAUACCCUGGUAGUCCACGCCGUAAACGAUGAGUGCUAAGUGUUAGGGGGUUUCCGCCCCUUAGUGCUGCAGCUAACGCAUUAAGCACUCCGCCUGGGGAGUACGGUCGCAAGACUGAAACUCAAAGGAAUUGACGGGGGCCCGCACAAG
rnacentral:rRNA from 1 species